UACAGAGGGUGCGAGCGUUAAUCGGAAUUACUGGGCGUAAAGCGCGCGUAGGCGGCUCUGCAAGCCGGAUGUGAAAUCCCCGGGCUCAACCUGGGAACUGCAUUCGGGACUGCAUUGCUAGAGUAUGGGAGAGGGAAGUGGAAUUUCAGGUGUAGCGGUGAAAUGCGUAGAUAUCUGAAGGAACAUCAGUGGCGAAAGCGACUUCCUGGACCAAUACUGACGCUCAUGUGCGAAAGCGUGGGAGCAAACAGGG
rnacentral:rRNA from 1 species